ACACAACGUAACCCCUGUUGGUCCUCUGUUCUGGGGUCUGGUAUCUCCGGUGCUACAUGGCUGCUUCGGCCGGACUCCGGCGGCGGUGCCUCUCCACGGUGAAGCAUCAAAAGACCCGCUUGUACAUCCUGCGCCGUUGCGUGUUGAUGCUCCUUUGCUGGCAUGAGCAUAGUCUCUCCGAUUGACCGAAAGGUAGCUCGAUCGACCGACCGAUCAACCAACCGGGGGGCAAGAUCUAUCGGAUACCAAGGAGACAGAGUAAUGGCAAUCUUAAGCGACCAAAUAGGAGAAGAUAUAUAAUUUGUCUCCGGUGUUAAAGCUCAAGUUAUUAGUGUAAAUAAUUAGCUAAAUUGGAGUCUGAUGCAGAGUUUUAUUGGAGAUCAUUUUCGGAAUGUGUAAAUAAAGUAGUUUUGUUUUCCAAAUCGGAAUGAGAUUAUAUUUAACUAAUUGUUCAUUUAGUUUACCAAGGAACCUUAGAAGGUUUAUGGCUGGAUUAAUUGAACUGCAAAAAUGCACCGAUAUAAGGGGGCCGGGCUUUCUUUGUUUCUGUGUAGUUGACUCUAUUCCCUAAAAGCAAAAGCUAUUAAAUGCGCCCACUGUCGCUAUUCCUCUCAAACAAUUGUUCAUCCUAAGAAGCGGUGGUCUAUCCUGAUGGUGAUGAAGUUCCAUAUGUAGUUGAUAUCCUGAUGAUCACAAGGUACAUCGCAAGUUAUAUUUGCCAUUUUUUUUUCAUGAUUUAGGAAUUGGAAAUCAAGAAAAGUAAGAUCAACUUGAUGACGGUGAUGAUGUUGAGGAAGAACACUGAAUUUUAGCUGGCUAUUGGUCUUCCUAUUUGGAAAGGAAGUGGAAAAUCUAAAUGCAGUUUCAGCCGGCUGGGAUUAAAUCAAAAUUAGAUUCUAUAGCUGUAAAGAGACCUUCACUUGAGUUUUUUUUUUUUUUUGUGCCUUUAGUAGAUCAUAUUCAAUGGUCGUUUGCUGGGCUCCCAGACAAGCAUCGUACUCUUGCAGACAUCUUGUUGUUGUCAAUGUACUUUGUGAGACUCGAGACUUCGCCAUCAUCUUAAAUAUAAUUAAAUUGCCAUUGCUCGUAGUUAUUUGCAGUCUUAUCUGUACAAGCUUAGCGUAAUCCUUUAAUCUUUCAUGUUUAUUCCCCUGCUGACAUCGUUAAGCAAUGCUGCUUUAGCUGGACAAUCGCCGUUGUCAUGAAAUUUUAUAAUCAUCGCAGUAAUCAUAGGUAUAAUUUCAAGUAAAAAAGUAGCAAAAUCCAAAAUCCAUUAAUACGCAAAUAAAAUUUACAUGUUUUUUUUUUUGGUAUUUUCACAAAGCUUGAUUGAAGCAGGAGCAAGACCCUGGUCCAAUUCCAGUCUGGUGGUGAUUCGGAGAGCUUCUAGACUUCGAAGCUGCACAGAGCUUGGACAUGGCCCGAGUACUCCCUCGGCACCGCCACCUCGUGCCACGUCCUGGUCCCCUCCUCAUCCUCACAGCCCGAUUCAAGAACGUACGCCAUCUGGGGCCCGCCGCGGGCCCCUGAACCCAGCACCAUCAGCCCCCUUUCCCACGCCACCAUGUGCAGAGCUGCCCUAAUUUCCCGCGGCAGCUCCGCCACCCUCCCCCACCCCGAUCUGCCGCCUUCCUCCAUCAUCUCCACUUCCCUUCCUUCCCGGCACAUGUAAAUUUUCCCUUUCUCGGACACCACACAUGUCCGCGUCCGCGGGUUGGCCGCCUCCUCCAGCGCCGAGUCCCCUUCUGCCGCCCACCGCCAGGUGGCCACAUCGAACGCCUCGACGGUCUGCGAGAACUGACCUUGCGCCUCAGUCGGGUAACCCCCGAGGACGCGGAACGCACCGCCAGAGAAGAAUCCCUUGCACUCGUCGCGCGGCCGCGCCAUGUCCGGCAGUUGCGUCCACGCGUCCGCCGCCACGUCGUAGACCAGCGCGGACCGCAGCGCGUUCUUGCUCUCGUCGUGCCCGCCGGCCACGAACACUAACCACCGCCCCUCCGCCUCGGCGGCGGCGCAGGCGAAGAAGGAACGCCGCGGGCCAGGCAUCCGCGCCCCGCGGCGCCAGACGCCGGACACCAAGCCGUAGACGUGGACCUCGUCGGUAGCAGCCCAGGUGCGGGGGUCCCACCCGCCAAUCACCACCAGCUCCCGCCCGACGGCGGCCAGCUGGCAGAAGAGCGGGAGGCCGUGGGGACGGCCGGGGAUCAUCGGGGGCGAAGUCCAGGCGUCGGUGGCCGGCUCGAACACGA